UGCCCUAGUAACGGCGAGUGAAGCGGCAACAGCUCAAAUUUGAAAUCUGGCUCUCUUUGGGGGUCCGAGUUGUAAUUUGCAGAGGAUGCUUUGGCAUUGGCGGCGGUCUAAGUUCCUUGGAACAGGACAUCACAGAGGGUGAGAAUCCCGUACGUGGUCGCCUGCCUUUGCCGUGUAAAGCUCCUUCGACGAGUCGAGUUGUUUGGGAAUGCAGCUCUAAAUGGGAGGUAAAUUUCUUCUAAAGCUAAAUACUGGCCAGAGACCGAUAGCGCACAAGUAGAGUGAUCGAAAGAUGAAAAGUACUUUGGAAAGAGAGUCAAAAAGCACGUGAAAUUGUUGAAAGGGAAGCGCUUGCAGCCAGACUUGCCCGCAGUUGCUCACCUAGGCUUUGGCCUGGGGCACUCUUCUGCGGGCAGGCCAGCAUCAGUUUGGGCGGUUGGAUAAAGGCCUCUGUCACGUAUCUCCCUUCGGGGUGACCUUAUAGGGGAGGCGCAAUGCAACCAGCCCGGACUGAGGUCCGCGCUUCGGCUAGGAUGCUGGCGUAAUGGCUGUAAGCGGCCCGUCUUGAAACACGGACCAAGGAGUCUAACAUCUAUGCGAGUGUUUGGGUGUCAAGCCCGAGCGCGCAAUGAAAGUGAACGGAGGUGGGAACCCUUUGGGUGCACCAUCGACCGAUCCUGAUGUCUUCGGAUGGAUUUGAGUAAGAGCAUAGCUGUUGGGACCCGAAAGAUGGUGAACUAUGCUUGAAUAGGGUGAAGCCAGAGGAAACUCUGGUGGAGGCUCGCAGCGGUUCUGACGUGCAAAUCGAUCGUCAAAUUUGGGCAUAGGGGCGAAAGACUAAUCGAAMCAUCUAGUAGCUGGUUCCUGCCGAAUUU
rnacentral:rRNA from 1 species